AAUCAACGCUGGCGGCGUGCCUAACACAUGCAAGUCGAACGCGAAAGCCCGCAAGGGUAAGUAGAGUGGCGCACGGGUGAGUAACACGUGGACAACCUGCCUUCGAGUGGGGAAUAACCUUCCGAAAGGAGGGCUAAUACCGCAUAACACCUCGGAACACAAGUUCUGGGGUUGAAAAGAGCGAUUUGCUCAAAGAGGGGUCCGCGCCUGAUUAGCUAGUUGGUGAGGUAAUGGCUCACCAAGGCUUCGAUCAGUAGCCGUCCUGAGAGGGAGCACGGCCACACUGGAACUGAGACACGGUCCAGACUCCUACGGGAGGCAGCAGUGGGGAAUAUUGGACAAUGGGCGCAAGCCUGAUCCAGCCAUGCCGCGUGAGUGACGAAGGCCUUAGGGUUGUAAAGCUCUUUUGGCGGGGAAGAUAAUGACGGUACCCGCAGAAUAAGCUCCGGCUAACUUCGUGCCAGCCGCCGCGGUAAGAC
rnacentral:rRNA from 1 species